GCUGGUUCCAUCCGAAGUUUCCCUCAGGAUAGCUGGCGCCGAUGUGUCCCGCCCGUUCGCGGGCGUACGGACGCCGGUGGGACUCCGCGCUGUACGGCGCGGUAACAACACGCUCGUAACACGGAGGAUGUCUCAUACGGUAAAGCGAAUGAUUAGAGGACAUUGGGGCCGAAACGACCUCAACCUAUUCUCAAACUAUAAAUGAGUGAGAUCGCCGGCUUUACCUGGUACACCGCGUGAACCGCGUGCGAAGCCGGCGACGGAACCCUAGGCGCUUAGUGGGCCAUUUUUGGUAAGCAGAACUGGCGCUGCGGGAUGAACCGAACGCCGAGUUAAGGCGCCGAAAUCGACGCGUAUUCAGAGACCAUGAAAGGCGUUGGUUGCUGAUGACAGCAGGACGGUGGCCAUGGAAGUCGGAAUCCGCUAAGGAGUGUGUAACAACUCACCUGCCGAAGCAACUAGCUCUGAAAAUGGAUGGCGCUGGAGCGUCGUGCCUAUACUCGGCCGUCGACGGCAUAGUGGGGCCAGUCGUCGCUCGCGGCGGCCGGUCCCGGCAAGCCUCGACGAGUAGGAUGGCGCGGCGGUGUGCGUCGAAGGGCAGGUCGCGAGACCGCCUGGAGCCGCCGUCGGUGCAGAUCUUGGUGGUAGUAGCAAAUACUCGAGAGGGGCCCUCGGGGGCUGCCGUGGAGAAGGGUUUCUUGUGAACAGCCGUUGUCCAAGAGUCAGUCGAUCCUAAGCCCGGGGAGAGAUCCUCGUACCACGGGCGAAGGCGUUUUCGAAUCGCCCUUGGGGCGAGAGGGAAUCCGGUUCGUAUUCCGGAACCCGACGCGGAACCGCUCCCUAGUGUUCGGGGCUCUUUUGUCUCGUCUGGGUAACCAGAAUGAACUCGAAGAAGCCGCCGGGGGAUCUGGGUAGAGUUCUCUUUUCUCUGUGAGCGUUGUACGUCCCUGGAAUCCUCUAGCCGGGCGAUAGGGACGCGAGCGCGAAGAGCACCGCUCGUUGCGGCGGUGUCCGUGAUCCCCACGCGGACCUUGAAAAUUCGAGAGAGGGCCACGCGGAGUCUUCGCGUCGGUUCGUACCGAUAUCCGCAGCAGGUCUCCGAGGUGAGCAGCCUCUAGCCGCAUAGAAUAAUGUAGGUAAGGGAAGUCGGCAAAACCGAUCCGUAACUUCGGGAUAAGGAUUGGCUCUGAGGAGCGUGGCUGCCGGGUUCGGGUCGUCGUAGAAGCGUAGGCGUUUUUUGGCGACACCCCGGCCGUCGCCCGUGCGCCCGGUCUUCGGAACGGGAGCCUCGAGGCGGCCGCGGGCCCGUCGCCGUCCGCCGACCGUGGAACCACCGAGCUUCGGUCGCUGGCCGCGUCGCGGCCGGCCGACCGCCUUGGUGUCGGUUCGCCGUCACCGGGCGGUCCGGCCGCCGCGCCGUCGGUCGCGUAGCCGGAUCGACAGCCAUGUAACGGUCAACUCAGAACUGGCACGGACCAGGGGAAUCCGACUGUCUAAUUAAAACAAAGCAUCGCGAUGGCCCGGGACGGGUGUUGACGCGAUGUGAUUUCUGCCCAGUGCUCUGAAUGUCAACGUGAAGAAAUUCAAGCAAGCGCGGGUAAACGGCAGGAGUAACUAUGACUCUUUUAAGGUAGCCAAAUGCCUCGUCA
rfam:Acyrthosiphon pisum strain LSR1 Contig2250, whole genome shotgun sequence.